AUUGAACGCUGGCGGCAGGCCUAACACAUGCAAGUCGAACGGUAACAGGAAGAAGCUUGCUUCUUUGCUGACGAGUGGCGGACGGGUGAGUAAUGUCUGGGAAACUGCCUGAUGGAGGGGGAUAACUACUGGAAACGGUAGCUAAUACCGCAUAACGUCGCAAGACCAAAAAGGGGGACCUUCGGGCCUCUUGCCAUCGGAUGUGCCCAGAUGGGAUUAGCUAGUAGGUGGGGUAACGGCGCACCUAGGCGACGAUCCCUAGCUGGUCUGAGAGGAUGACCAGCCACCCUGGAACCGAGACACGGUCCCGACUCCUAAGGGAGGCAGCAGUGGGGAAUAUUGCACAAUGGGCGCAAGCAUGAUGCAGCCAUGCCGCGUGUAUGAAGAAGGACUUCGGGUUGUAAAGUACUUUCAGCGGGGAGGAAGGGAGUAAAGUUAAUCACUUUGCUCAUUGACGUUACCCGAAGAAGAAGCACCGGCUAACUCCGUG
rnacentral:rRNA from 1 species